rnacentral:rRNA from 1 species
GGUUAAGCUAAUAAGAGCGCAGGGUGGAUGCCUUGGCACUAAGAGCCGAAGAAAGACGUGAUAAGCUGCGAAAAGCUGCGGGGAGGAGCAAAUGUCCAUUGAUCCGCAGAUGUCUGAAUGGGGAAACCCGUCUGGAAGAACUCCAGUCACUGCAUGUUGAAUACAUAGGCAUGCAGGGGGAACCCGGUGAACUGAAACAUCUAAGUAGCCGGAGGAAAAGAAAGAAAAAUCGAUUUCCAAAGUAGCGGCGAGCGAAAUGGAAGGAGCCCAAACCGGGAUGCGUGCAUUCCGGGGUUAUGGACCGCAAGAAGUGACCCGUAAGAUAGAAGAAUGGCAUUGGGAAAGCCAGCCACAGAGGGUGAAAGCCCCGUAUUCGAAAUCAGAAGGAGCGAGCGGAAUCCGAAGUACUACGAGACACGUGGAACCUUGUAGGAAAUCGGGGGGACCACCCCCCAAGGCUAAAUACUCCUUAGUGACCGAUAGCGCAUAGUACUGUGAAGGAACGGUGAAAAGAACCCCGGGAGGGGAGUGAAAGAGAACCUGAAACCCUGUGUUUACAAGCUGUGGAAGAGCUUUACAUGCUCAACCGCGUACUUUUUGUAGAACGGUCCGGCGAGUUACUCUUACUGGCAAGGUUAAGCACCAAAGGUGUGGAGCCGAAGGGAAACCAAGUCUUAACAGGGCGAGUUAGUCAGUGUGAGUAGACCCGAAACCGGGUGACCUACCCAUGUCCAGGAUGAAGUUGCCGUAAAAGGCAAUGGAGGUCCGAACACACAUCCGUUGAAAAGGGUGGUGAUGAGGUGUGGGUAGCGGAGAAAUUCCAAUCGAACCCGGAGAUAGCUGGUUCUCCUCGAAAUAGCUUUAGGGCUAGCCUCAAUUUAGUCUUGCGGAGGUAGAGCACUGAAUAUCCUAGGGGGCGUCAAAGCUUACCGAAGAUUAUCAAACUCCGAAUGCCGUAAAGAUGAUGAUUGGGAGUCAGACUGCACGAGAUAAGUUGGGUAGUCAAAAGGGAAACAGCCCAGACCUCCAGCUAAGGUCCCAAAGUGAGUGUUAAGUGGAAAAGGAUGUGGGAUUUCGAAGACAACUAGGAUGUUGGCUCAGAAGCAGCCAUUCAUUCAAAGAGUGCGUAAUAGCUCACUAGUCGAGAGGUCCUGCGCCGAAAAUGUCCGGGGCUAAACACUACACCGAAGCUGAGGAAUGACAAUGUCAUUGGUAGAGGAGCAUUCUUAACUGCGACGAAGCUGUACCGAAAGGAGCAGUGGAGUGUUAAGAAGAGAGAAUGCCGGAAUGAGUAGCGAGAGUGAGGUGAGAAUCCUCACGGCCGAAUAUCUAAGGUUUCCAGGGUAAAGCUGAUCUGCCCUGGGUAAGUCGGGACCUAAGGCGAGGUCGAAAGACGUAGUCGAUGGACAACAGGUUGAAAUUCCUGUACUGCAAUGUAUCAGAAAUGUGGGGACACAGACAGAGAGCCGGAGCCGGGAAUGGAGAAACCGGUGCAAGCGGGGUAGGAGAACAGCAGGCAAAUCCGCUGUUCAAUCCAAAGACGUGACGCGGAGUGAAAUUAAAGUAGCGAAGCCGGUGAGCUGGCUGUCAGGAAAAGCCGCUAUUGUGUACAUUGUACCCGUACCGUAAACCGACACAGGUGGAUGAGGAGAGAAUCCUAAGGCCGACGGAAGAAGCAUUGUUAAGGAACUCGGCAAAAUGGCCCCGUAACUUCGGGAUAAGGGGUGCCUACGAAGGUAGGCCGCAGAGAAUUGGCCCAAGCAACUGUUUAGCAAAAACACAGGUCUAUGCGAAACCGUAAGGUGAUGUAUAUGGGCUGACGCCUGCCCGGUGCUGGAAGGUUAAGGGGAGAGGUUAGACAUGAGUCGAAGCCUUGAACUUAAGCCCCAGUAAACGGCGGCCGUAACUAUAACGGUCCUAAGGUAGCGAAAUUCCUUGUCGGGUAAGUUCCGACCCGCACGAAAGGCGUAAUGAUUUGGGCACUGUCUCGACAAUGCAUCCGGUGAAAUUGAAGUACCAGUGAAGAUGCUGGUUACCUGCGCCAGGACGGAAAGACCCCAUGGAGCUUUACUCUAUCUUGAUACUGGGAUUCCAUAUUGCAUGUACAGGAUAGGUGGGAGACUAAGAGACAUGAACGCCAGUUUGUGUGGAGUCGCCCUUGGGAUACCACCCUUGCAAUAUUGGGUUUCUAACAUGCAGCCGUGAUCCGGCUGGUGGACAAUGUCAGGUGGGGAGUUUGACUGGGGCGGUCGCCUCCGAAAGGAUAUCCGAAGCGCUCAAAGGUUCCCUCAUAAUGAUCGGAAACCAUUCGAAGAGUGCAUUGGCACAAGGGAGCUUGACUGUGACACCGACGGGUGGAGCAUCCACGAAAGUCGGAUAUAUUGAUCCCGUAUAUAAUGUGGAUUGGCAUCCCUCGACGGAAACAGAUACCUGAUGUAUCAUGUAUUUUAUCACUCACAUAGUUCACAUAGACGGAUCCUAUGGUUUCUUACAUGACCGGAUGAUCCCUUCACGGAUCAUUCAUUAGAUACGAAAGUGGAUUAUCGAUCAGACAAUUGGNNNNNNNNNNNNNNNNNNNNNNNNNNNNNNNNNNNNNNNNNNNNNNNNNNNNNNNNNNNNNNNNNNNNNNNNNNNNNNNNNNNNNNNNNNNNNNNNNNNNGGAGCGUUACUUAGACUUGAUCUGGGAUCGAUAUGCAGUACAAGGAUAGGUGGAGACUAGAGACAUUGACGCAGUUGGUGGGAAUCGCCUGGGAUUCAACCUGGCAGUAUGGAUUUUAACAUGCAGCGUGAUCCGGCUGGUGACAAUGUCAGGUGGGGGACUUUGGCUGGGGCGCUCGCGUCCGAAAGGAUGUCGCAGGCGCUCAAAGGUUCCUUCAGAAUGCUCGGAAACCAUUCGAAGAGUGCAAAGGCAGAAGGGAGCUUGACUGUGACACCGGACGGGUGGAGCAGGUACGAAAGUAGGACUUAGUGAUCCGGUGGUAUAAAGUGGGGAUUGCCAUCGCUCAACGGAUAAAAGCUACCCUGGGGAUAACAGGCUUAUCACUCCCAAGAGUUCACAUCGACGGAGUGGUUUGGCACCUCGAUGUCGGCUCAUCGCAUCCUGGGGCUGUAGUAGGUCCCAAGGGUUGGGCUGUUCGCCCAUUAAAGCGGUACGCGAGCUGGGUUCAGAACGUCGUGAGACAGUUCGGUCCCUAUCCGGCGUGGGCGUAGGAUAUUUGAGAGGAGCUGUCCUUAGUACGAGAGGACCGGGAUGGACUGACCUCUGGUGUACCUGUUGCACUACCAAGUGCAUGGCAGGGUAGCCAAGUCGGGAAGGGAUAAACGCUGAAGGCAUCUAAGCGUGAAGCCCCCCUCAAGAUGAGAUAUCCCAUUCGCAAGAAUUAAGACCCCUUGAAGACGACGAGGUUGAUAGGUCAGAGGUGGAAGUGUGGUAACACAUGGAGCUGACUGAUACUAAUAGGUCGAGGGCUUAUCCAU